rnacentral:lncRNA from 1 species
GUGUGUGCUGCCUUUUGCUUCUUGCAUCCUAACGAGCUUCAACAGACACAAAUUAAGGAGCAAUGGGAGUAUCCACAAAUUUCCCCAGCCUUCAGGGCAUCUUUCUGUUUUAAGGCUGUAACUCAGGCCUCAUCUGGGGAGGCCACUGAAAGUACCACACACUUUCCAAGUCUCAGGAUCACCAGGGAGGGAUUCUUGCUCUUGCUCUGUUACCUUUUCUCUUGUUACUAAGGCCACUCAUAGAAAUCCAAAUUGUUUCUCUUUCCCUUUUUAGUUCUAGGAUGACAACUCAGCUGUUUCUGGAAAAAUUACAACCUUGGCCAGGACGUUCCAAAUAAGUUAAAACAAUCUCUACAUCUGAGGGAGACAGCCUUUUACGAUGGGCUCUUCCUGUAUUACCCAGGUUGACCCUCCUGCCUCAGACUCCUGAGAAGCUGGCAUUAGGGUGUGCACCACCAUUCCCAUCUGAACUUUAGGAAAAAAUAUUUAGAUGUUUCAGUGAAAACCUGAUGAAGAUAAAUUGCAGUGUGAAUGAAAUGACAGGGAAAAUCAAAUGCCAAUUUUAUUAGAAAGAACCCACUGGGGAGACACGUUGAAACCAGGAGCUCAUGGCUGAAGACUACAUGGCUAGAGACAAGUAAGGGGCUGAGGACAGAGCAGAGAAGAAACAUUGAGGGAGAAGUAAAUGAGGGGAGAGAAGAAGAAACUGAGGAGGCCGUGAGCCUGGAUGCUGCAUGGGGGAGUGAAGAAUUUGAAUUGCUGGGAUGGCCAAGAAGUGUUUGGAGUCCAGCAUCACUCACUGGGGACAUGAUGACGUUUGUUCUGCAGCAGAUAUUUGAGCAGAAGAAUAUUACGGAGGAAUAAAAGGCAACUUAGAAUCACAGCACUUGAUACAACCUCAGUAGGUCAUCUGGAAGAGAAAUGGCUUUUGGAAAUGGUCAUCAGAUUUGAUAUCUAACUAUGGCAAAGAGUGUCAAGAGACUUUCAAGGACAAUGUAUGUCUUGGUAGAAGUAAAGUGAAAUUAUCAGUAAAUACAGAAAUGUUUCUGAAUUGAAC